rnacentral:rRNA from 1 species
GACGAACGCUGGCGGCGUGCUUAACACAUGCAAGUCGAACGGAAAGGCCCUGCUUUUGUGGGGUGCUCGAGUGGCGAACGGGUGAGUAACACGUGAGUAACCUGCCCUUGACUUUGGGAUAACUUCAGGAAACUGGGGCUAAUACCGGAUAGGAGCUCCUGCUGCAUGGUGGGGGUUGGAAAGUUUCGGCGGUUGGGGAUGGACUCGCGGCUUAUCAGCUUGUUGGUGGGGUAGUGGCUUACCAAGGCUUUGACGGGUAGCCGGCCUGAGAGGGUGACCGGCCACAUUGGGACUGAGGUACGGCCCAGACUCCUACGGGAGGCAGCAGUGGGGAAUAUUGCACAAUGGGCGGAAGCCUGAUGCAGCAACGCCGCGUGCGGGAUGACGGCCUUCGGGCUGUAAACCGCUUUCGCCUGUGACGAAGCGUGAGUGACGGUAAUGGGUAAAGAAGCACCGGCUAACUACGUG